rnacentral:rRNA from 1 species
CGAGCACGCCGCGUGAGUGAGAGGUUUUCGGAUCGUAAAGCUCUGUUGUAAGUCAAGAACGAGUGUGAGAGUGGAAAGUUCACACUGUGACGGUAGCUUACCAGAAAGGGACGGCUAACUACGUGCCAGCAGCCGCGGUAAUACGUAGGUCCCGAGCGUUGUCCGGAUUUAUUGGGCGUAAAGCGAGCGCAGGCGGUUUGAUAAGUCUGAAGUUAAAGGCUGUGGCUCAACCAUAGUUCGCUUUGGAAACUGUCAAACUUGAGUGCAGAAGGGGAGAGUGGAAUUCCAUGUGUAGCGGUGAAAUGCGUAGAUAUAUGGAGGAACACCGGUGGCGAAAGCGGCUCUCUGGUCUGUAACUGACGCUGAGGCUCGAAAGCGUGGGGAGCGAACA